GGUCCCAUUUGGCACAGUUGGUAGAGCAUGGUGCUUACAAUGCCAGGGAUGUGGGUUCAAUUCCCACAGGGACCA